ensembl:snRNA U1 U1 spliceosomal RNA
CCCCUUACCUGGCGGGGGACAGGCCGUGGUCAGGAAGGGGGUUCUCCCUGGACGAGGCUAGUCCACUGCACUUCGGCGGCGCUGACCCCUGCGAUUUCCCCACACGCGGGGCCCUGAUCUGCGGUGGUGUUAGUGCUGCCCGGCAGCU